GUCGAGAAUCUUCCGCAAUGCGCGAAAGUCUGACGCAGCGACGCCGCGUGAGUGAUGAAGGCCUUAGGGUCGUAAAGCUCUGUUGAAUGGGAAGAAAAAAAUGACGGUACCAUUCGAGGAAGGACCGGCUAACUUCGUGCCAGCAGCCGCGGUAAUACGAGGGGUCCUAGCGUUGUUCGGAAUCAUUGGGCGUAAAGGGUGUGUAGGUGGCCAUGUAAGUCAGGUGUGAAAGCCCCGGGCUCAACCCGGGAAGUGCACUUGAUACUGCGUGGCUUGAGUACCGAAGAGGGUAGUGGAAUUCCAGGUGUAGUGGUGAAAUACGUAGAUAUCUGGAGGAACACCGGUGGCGAAGGCGGCUACCUGGUCGAGUACUGACACUGAGACACGAAAGCAUGGGGAUCAAACAGGAUUAGAUACCCGGGUAGUCC
rnacentral:rRNA from 1 species